UCGUAUUAUCGAUAUGGUUUUGCAAUGGUAUUGUUUUAAUUACU
rnacentral:sRNA from 1 species